rnacentral:rRNA from 1 species
UGGGGAAUAUUGGACAAUGGGGGAAACCCUGAUCCAGCGAUGCCGCGUGAGUGAAGAAGGCCCUAGGGUUGUAAAGCUCUUUUAGGGGGGAGGAUGAUGACGUUACCCCCAGAAAAAGCACCGGCUAACUUCGUGCCAGCAGCCGCGGUAAUACGAAGGGUGCAAGCGUUGUUCGGAAUUACUGGGCGUAAAGCGCGCGUAGGCGGCUUGCUAAGUCAGACGUUAAAGACCUGGGCUCAACCUGGGGAAUGCGUUUGAUACUGGCGAGCUAGAGAUUCAGAGAGGUGAGUGGAAUUCCUAGUGUAGAGGUGAAAUUCGUAGAUAUUAGGAAGAACACCAGUGGCGAAGGCGGCUCACUGGCUGAACACUGACGCUAAAGCGCGAAAGCGUGGGGAGCAAACAGGAUUAGAUACCCCCGUAGUCC